AGAGUUUGAUCCUGGCUCAGGACGAACGCUGGCGGCGUGCCUAAUACAUGCAAGUCGAGCGGACAGAUGGGAGCUUGCUCCCUGAUGUUAGCGGCGGACGGGUGAGUAACACGUGGGUAACCUGCCUGUAAGACUGGGAUAACUCCGGGAAACCGGGGCUAAUACCGGAUGCUUGUUUGAACCGCAUGGUUCAAACAUAAAAGGUGGCUUCGGCUACCACUUACAGAUGGACCCGCGGCGCAUUAGCUAGUUGGUGAGGUAAUGGCUCACCAAGGCAACGAUGCGUAGCCGACCUGAGAGGGUGAUCGGCCACACUGGGACUGAGACACGGCCCAGACUCCUACGGGAGGCAGCAGUAGGGAAUCUUCCGCAAUGGACGAAAGUCUGACGGAGCAACGCCGCGUGAGUGAUGAAGGUUUUCGGAUCGUAAAGCUCUGUUGUUAGGGAAGAACAAGUGCCGUUCAAAUAGGGCGGCACCUUGACGGUACCUAACCAGAAAGCCACGGCUAACUACGUGCCAGCAGCCGCGGUAAUACGUAGGUGGCAAGCGUUGUCCGGAAUUAUUGGGCGAUAAAGGGCUCGCAGGCGGUUUCUUAAGUCUGAUGGGAAAGCCCCCGGCUCAACCGGGGAGGGUCAUUGGAAACUGGGGAACUUGAGUGCAGAAGAGGAGAGUGGAAUUCCACGUGUAGCGGUGAAAUGCGUAGAGAUGUGGAGGAACACCAGUGGCGAAGGCGACUUUCUGGUCUGUAACUGACGUUGAGGAGCGAAAGGGUGGGGAGCGAACAGGAUUAGAUACCCUGGUAGUCCACGCCGUAAACGAUGAGUGCUAAGUGUUAGGGGGUUUCCGCCCCUUAGUGCUGCAGCUAACGCAUUAAGCACUCCGCCUGGGGAGUACGGUCGCAAGACUGAAACUCAAAGGAAUUGACGGGGGCCCGCACAAGCGGUGGAGCAUGUGGUUUAAUCGAGCACGCGAAGACCUUACCAGGUCUUGACAUCCUCU
rnacentral:rRNA from 1 species